rnacentral:rRNA from 1 species
CUUUUGCGAGAGAAAAAGGCAAUCGUGCUCAUACCACGGUUGUUUGAUGGUAUCUCGCGAAUAAGCCCCGGCNNACUACGUGCCAGCAGCCGCGGUAAUACGUAGGGGGCGAGCGUUGUCCGGAUUUACUGGGCGUAAAGCGCGUGUAGGCGGUUGAUCAAGUCGGGUGUGAAAUGCUGCAGCUUAACUGCGGCACUGCGCUCGAAACUGGUUGACUGGAGUUUGGCAGGGGUAACCGGAAUUCCUGGUGUAACGGUGAAAUGUGUAGAUAUCAGGAGGAACAUCUGUGGCGAAGGCGGGUUACUGGGCCAAAACUGACGCUGAGACGCGAAAGCGUGGGGAGCAAACAGGAUUAGAUACCCUGGUAGUCCACGCUGUAAACGAUGAGUGCUAGGUGUUGGGGGUAUCGACUCCCUCAUUGCCGCAGCUAACGCAUUAAGCACUCCGCCUGGGGAGUACGGUCGCAAGAUUAAAACUCAAAGGAAUUGACGG